GGAGGAGUCAGUCACGCACAUCAGCCUUAGACUCUGAGCCCAAGCAAGCCUCUGUCACCACUGUCCUCCUGGCAGCAUCCUGAAUUGCGAAGAGCCACCCCGCCCCCCAGACAUUCAGUGACCUAGACUCAGACCUCUGGGGAAGGACACAGUCUCCAGGCUCAGCCAGUAGGCAGGGGACUGUGACAGAAAGGGACAUGUGGCCAAGUCCCUCUGGUGAGAUACAAACCUGGACUUUGGCCAAACCUGGAUGUAAAUCUUCUCCCGGACUUCUCCCAGGUUUUCAACCUAGAAGCAUCUUUCUCCUGGACCUGGAAGCGAUCCCUUUGAAACACAGUCAUAAAGACAGGGCCUCUGUCUCCUGGGUCCUGUGGGAAGAGUCCUCAGGUGACCUUGGGAGUUCAUGCUUCCUCUCUAAGCCUUCGACCCCAAGCUGAAACAGUGGAGCUGCUGGAGAUGGUACUGGGUGCCCCUGCUAGCUGAGACAUUGCAGGACUUUUGGGACACGAGGUUCUGCCACUCUGAUCAGUCGUCAUCACCGUGUGUGCACAAGAGAACCCUGCAGAGCUUCCCAUGCUACAGCCAUUCAAACCUCUAAUCCUUGGAAUCCUGGUGUGGGAAAACUCAAGUGAAAAUGCCCAGGAAAUUCUGAUUGCUGCAGAGACAUUGAGGGAAUCAGCGAAUCUGGCAAUGAGGUUCUUACUGCAACCCCUAGAGGCAGCUGUCUUAAUGAAGAUGUGGGAACAGGGAGGCCUAUUGCAGAGAAAAAAGGUGGUUGCUAUGGUUUGGCUGUGUCCCCACCCAAAUCUCAUCUUGAAUUGUAGUUCCCAUAAUCCUCUCAUGUCCUUGGAGGCACCCAGUUUCAUGGGGUAAUCGAAUCAUGGGGGCAGUUUCCCCCAUGCUUUUCUCAUGACAGUGAGUGAGUUCUCACAAGACCUGAUGUGUGUGUGUGUGUGUUUUUAUUGUUUUGUUUUGUUUUGUUUUGUUUUUGUCACCCAGGCUGGAGUGCAGUGGUGCCAUCUCAGCUUACUGCAACCUCUGACUCCCUGGUUCAAACGAUUCUCCUGCCUCAGCCUCCCGAGUAGCUGGGAUUACAGGUGUGUGCCACCACGUCUGGGGUUUCACCAUAUUGGCCAGGAUGGUCUCGAUCUCCUGACCUCAUGAUCCGCCCGCCUCGGCCUCCCAAAGUGCUGGGAUUACAGGCAUGAGCCACUGUGCCCGGCCUCUGAUGGUUUCAUAAGGGGCUUCCCCCUUCGUUUGGCUCUAAUUCUCUCUCCUGCCACCCUGUGAAGACGUGCCUUCCGCCAUGAUUAGCUUGAGGCACCAUGACACAGAAACCAAGGACACAUGACUUCAGAUACUUAAGAAAACUCAUGUCAUCAAAUCACAUCAAGAACAUUGGAUGGCACAUCAAGACCUUCGUAAUAAGUCUUCGUCUCCAGCAGCUGCAGCUCCUGGCAGGCCGAUCUUUGCUGUGACUCCGUGGGUGCUUCUGUCUCCCCAGAUUCCCAGUGGCAGUUUUUCCUUCAACUCCAGUUUUCUGAUGUUCCAAGAACAGUCACUGAUUUUUGGCUAGUCCAGCCUUUCCUUCCGAAGACGGAAAUGACUGCUUUCAAGUUCUCUGCAUGUCAGAGCUUAAACUAGAGGUCCCACAGCAGCAGAGCCUUUCAACAAGGAGUUACGCAUGCAGGACCUGUGAGCCUCCUCCAUUCCGGCUUCAGAAUGGACACGGCCCCAUCACCCAUCUCUUCUGCCUCCCUGGCCCUUUGUGCCCCACAGAAUAGGACAGAUUCCUUAGCAGGACAUUCAAAGCCCUUCACUGAGUGUCCUCCACCUGCCCCUUCUGUCCUAACUCCCAGCCAGCACUCUGAGAUUGCUUCAAGUGACCUGGCGUUGGGAGCAGCAGCGUGGUGUGGUUACAACUGCAGGUUCCUGAGCAAGACUGCAGCAUAGUUGUCAAGAUUCAAGCUUUUCUUUCCCUUCUGUUUCUCCUUUCCUCCUUUAUAGAAUGGGGAUGAUAACAUCCCCUUGAUCCUAGACAGGUGCCACCUAUUCUUACUAUUAACCUUGAAAGCACAACACUGAAUGCACUUUGCUUCUCCUAUUUCCCUGUCCCUAGUUAAUGGGUGCUUGGAUAGCGAGAGCACCCUAGCACUUUGCGUGCGUGUGCAUCACAGAACUUACCAGAGUCCCAUGCCAAUAAGAUUGCCACAAAAAUUAGAGGCAGGCUGCAUGCAGUGUCUCACACCCACAAUCCCAGCACUUUGGGAGGCCAAGGCAGGUAGAUCCCUUCAGCCUCCUCUCAUCAACAGCUCUUGUUAUAGUUGCUAUUUUUCUUUUAAUGAUGUAAAUCUUUGAUUUCCUUAUUUUUCCUCAACAUGGAUCGGUGAGCUCCAUGAUGGCCUGGCUUACUCAAUAAUAAGAUCUAAUAAAUUGGCUAAUCGAGUCCAACAGAUAAUUGAUGGGCAUGAACAGUGUUUGCAAUCUUAUUCUACACGAUCUGGUGAUGGAUAUUGACUGAAGCCUUGUAAUUGGUUAGGUUCCUACUCUUUCAUAAAAGAUAUUUAAAAAGUAAACAAACAAGAGGUUUCUCUCAUAGAGUUUAUGAUAUAAUUGAAAGAUGUAUAUAAAAAUUCAAGACAAAUUAGAGAGAAGACUGUUCCAAAUGUGUUGGGGAAAGUUUGAUAAGUGCUCUAAUAAUAUUAAACAUUACAAAGAAAGGAAAAAUGAACAUAUACAUGUGUCUUAUAUAUACAUAUAUGUAUGUGUAUAUGCAUGUAUGUGUGUUUAUGUGUGUACAUAUACACAUAGAUAAUCAUAUGUCUAUGGUCAUAGAUCUAUAACUUGUUAAAUUCUGCUGUUCUGAAAUGAUGUACCUGAACUAGAAAGGUAAUGACCUCGUUGGGAACAUAAAAGUCAUCUGGCAUGUACUCACCAUGAUUCCACUUGUAAUCAUUAAUUUGUAAUCUGUAUGUUUUUUCAUAAUUUCAACAUACGAUUGUCAUUUUAGUUGAUGUUUACUAUAUAUUAAAUAUUUGUGACUAAAAACC
rnacentral:lncRNA from 10 species